rnacentral:rRNA from 1 species
UACGUAGGGUGCGAGCGUUAAUCGGAAUUACUGGGCGUAAAGUGUGCGCAGGCGGUUUUGUAAGCCAGAUGUGAAAUCCCCGGGCUCAACCUGGGAAUGGCAUUUGGGACUGCAAGGCUUGAGUGCGGCAGAGGAGACUGGAAUUCCUGGUGUAGCAGUGAAAUGCGUAGAUAUCAGGAGGAAUACCGAUGGCGAAGGCAGGUCUCUGGGCUGACACUGACGCUCAUGCACGAAAGCGUGGGGAGCAAACAGG